GACAGAGGGUGCAAACGUUGUUCGGAUUUACUGGGCGUAAAGCGCGUGUAGGCGGCUUGGCAAGUCGGAUGUGAAAGCCCACGGCUCAACCGUGGAAGCGCAUCCGAAACGGCCUCGCUCGAGUCUCGGAGAGGAAGGUGGAAUGCUUGGUGUAGAGGUGAAAUUCGUAGAUAUUCGGAAGAACACCAGUGGCGAAGGCGGCUCACUGGACCGUUGUUGACGCUGAGGUGCGAAAGCGUGGGGAGCAAACAGG
rnacentral:rRNA from 1 species